rnacentral:rRNA from 1 species
GUCUAAGGCCCAACCACGCUGAAUGUGCCCGAUCUCAUCUGCUCUCGGAAGCUAAGCAGGGUCGGGCCUGGUUAGUACUUGGAUGGGAGAAAUAUUCCUUUCUGCUAGAGUUUCUUGGUAUUUUAUUGU